AUUGUAGGCUGAAACUCGCCUACAUGAAGCUGGAAUUGCUAGUAAUCACAGGUCAGCAUACUGUGGUGAAUACGUUCCCGGGCCUUGUACACACCGCCCGUCACACCAUGAGAGUUGAGAAUACCCGAAGCCCAUGUCAAAGUGGUCGAAGGUAGGCUUGAUGAUUGGGGUGAAGUCGUAACAAGGUAGC
rnacentral:rRNA from 1 species